rnacentral:tRNA from 1 species
GGGAAGGUGGCUCAGUGGUAGAGUGCUUGCCUUGCAUGCAUGAGACCCUGGGUUCAAUUCCUCAGCACUACUU